AUUGAACGCUGGCUGCAGGCCUAACACAUGCAAGUCGAGCGAGCGGCGGACGGGUGCGUACUGUCUGGGAAACUGCCUGAUGGCGGGGGCUAACUACUGGACACGGUAGCUACUACCGCAUACCAUCAGAUGUGCCCAGAUGGGAUGAGCUAGUAGGUGGGGUAAUGGCUCACCUAGGCGACGAUCCCUCGCUGGUCUGAGAGGAUGACCAGCCACACUGGAACUGAGACACGGUCCAGAAUCCUACGGUAGGCAGCAGUGGGUAAUAUUGCACAAUGGGCGCAAGCCUGAGGCAGCCAUGCCGCGUGUGUGAAGAAGGCCUUCGGGUGGUAAAGCACUUUCAGCGGGGAGGCGUUACCCGCAGAAGAAGCACCUGCUAACUCCGUGCCAGCAGCCGCGGUAAUUC
rnacentral:rRNA from 1 species